GCUGAGGUGGUGAAAAUGGCAGACACGCAAGUUUCAGGAACUUGUUUUCAUAAAAUGAUAAUGGGGGUUCGAUUCCCCUCCUCAGCA
rnacentral:tRNA from 1 species